GCCGGGUGUGGUGGUGCAUGCCUGUAGUCCCAGCUAUUCAGGAGUCUGGGGUGGGAGGACGCCUUGAGCCCGGGAGUUCUGGGCUGUAGUGCGCUGUGCUGAUCGUCCAAUACACUACAGUCAGCAUCCAUACAGUGACCUCCCAGGAGUGGGAGACCACCAGGUUGCUUAAGGAUGGGUGAACCGGCCCAGGCUGGAAACGGAGCAAGUCAAAACUCCUGUGCCGAUCAGUAGUGGGAUUGUGCCUGUGAAUAGCCACCGCGCUCCAGCCUGGACAACAUCGCGAGUGAGACCCCAUCUCA
ensembl:misc_RNA Metazoa_SRP Metazoan signal recognition particle RNA